rnacentral:rRNA from 1 species
GAUGAACGCUAGCUACAGGCUUAACACAUGCAAGUCGCGGGGCAGCAUGGGGGUUGCUUGCAAUCCCCGAUGGCGACCGGCGCACGGGUGAGUAACGCGUAUCCAACCUGCCCUUCACCACGGGAUAAACCGGCGAAAGUCGGACUAAUACCGUAUGUUGUCCAUUGACGGCAUCCGAUUUGGACGAAAGGUUUGGCGGGGAAGGAUGGGGAUGCGUCCGAUUAGCUGGACGGCGGGGUGACGGCCCACCGUGGCGACGAUCGGUAGGGGUUCUGAGAGGAAGGUCCCCCACACUGGAACUGAGACACGGUCCAGACUCCUACGGGAGGCAGCAGUGAGGAAUAUUGGUCAAUGGGCGUAAGCCUGAACCAGCCAAGUAGCGUGCAGGAUGACGGCCCUAUGGGUUGUAAACUGCUUUUAUGCGGGGAUAAAGUGGCCCACGUGUGGGUUUUUGCAGGUACCGCAUGAAUAAGGACCGGCUAAUUCCGUG